UACGAAGGGGGGCUAGCGUUGCUCGGAAUGACUGGGCGUAAAGGGCGCGUAGGCGGUUUGUACAGUCAGGUGUGAAAUUCCCGGGCUCAACCUGGGGGCUGCACUUGAUACGUAUGGACUGGAGUGGGGAAGAGGGUCGUGGAAUUCCCAGUGUAGAGGUGAAAUUCGUAGAUAUUGGGAAGAACACCGGUGGCGAAGGCGGCGACCUGGUCCUUGACUGACGCUGAGGCGCGAAAGCGUGGG
rnacentral:rRNA from 1 species